UCUUUCUUUCUCUUUCUCUCUCUCUCUCUCUCUCUUUUCUUCUGUGUUUACAGAUUAACAUAACAAGCAGCUUUCGAUUAGAAGCAACAUCGUCAGUAACCAACACACGACGAAUAACACAUUUCAAUAUUUCUCUCUUACUCUCAUUUCUUAAAAGAUGAGAGG
rnacentral:ribozyme from 1 species